rnacentral:tRNA from 1 species
UGGGGUGUAGCUCAGUGGAGAGCUCUUGUCUAGCAAACACCAGGCCCACAGGGUUCAAUCCCCAGCACCACAU